rnacentral:rRNA from 1 species
ACUCAAAUGAAUUGACGGGGGCCCGCACAAGCAGCGGAGCGUGUGGUUUAAUUCGAUGCAACGCGCAGAACCUUACCUCGGCUUGACAUGCACGUGGUACCGCGUCGUAAGACAAGGGACCCGCAAGGGAGCGUGCACAGAUGCUGCAUGGCUGUCGUCAGCUCGUGCCGUGAGGUGUUGGGUUAAGUCCCGCAACGAGCGCAACCCUUGUCCUUAGUUGCCUUCUCUAAGGAGACCGCCGGUCUAAACCGGAGGAAGGUGGGGAUGACGUCAAGUCAGCACGGCUCUUACGUCGAGGGCUACACACACGCUACAAUGGCCGGUACAACGGGCUGCCAAGCCGCGAGGCGGAGCUAAUCCCACCAAAGCCGGUCUCAGUUCGGAUCGCAGGCUGCAACUCGCCUGCGUGAAGUCGGAGUUGCUAGUAACCGCUGGUCAGCACACAGCGGUGAAUACGUUCCCGGGCCUUGUACACACCGCCCGU